ACAGGCCCUGAUCGAAGCCGGGUCAGAAGCUCCUGUAUCUGACGCGGUCAAACAGAGGCCAAUAUAAAGGUUUUCUUCCGACGGUCGCUGCUCCGGCUCCGGUGCUGGUGCUGGCAACACUUAUGGGGAAAUACAGCU